CACCGUCAGUUGCACUCCAGCUCGAUAACUUGGAGAAAUGUUUGUAACUUGCUUUUGGGCAACGUUUCAGGAAUAACAGUUACUUUGGAUAAGUCAGCUUACUUGUUUCUCCUUUAUUUGUAGUGAACCCUGCUUUUCAGACUUCGACGAACCCAAACGUUAAUGAUGCAGUUUUUUUUCCCGUUGCGUAACAAAUUAGCGAAAUAAGCUAGCCAUCUCGUGCGCGACAGGUUCUUUCGACCUGGAGAGAGAAAGGAGCCAAACUUAUUUUUUGGCGACGUCUCAGGGUUAACAGCUACUUUGAAGGAAUGGCCAGUGUGCACAGGCCUGGACCCUCCAUCAAAAUCUGGUGCCGGAUCUGCUCGUACACCUUCCAGAUGGUGCUCUUCUCAGACCCUUUGUAUCCAGACCCUUUAGUUGCAACACUUCUGAACUCCUGUGAUGUCUGGCCCCUGCAGAAUCCCCAAAUAUGGUAAAUCUUGAAGACAUAAUUUCUGGUAGUGGUGUACUGUGUUUGCUCUGUGCCCUGAUAACAUGAAAAAGCAGAAAUUUCACAUUUGGACCCAUUCUGGUGGGAGGACUUGUAACCUGCAGCACAAUUUGAGGUUUUCUAGGUGUGACUCUAAAAAUGUACCCUUACUGUCUGUAAUUUUAUUUUUUAAAAAUGACAAGUCAUAGCUUUCACACAUCUGCACUAUAAUCUUGCCUUUGAACACGUUACAUUGAAUUAAUUUUGCAAAAAGUACAAAUGCUCAUGAUACAGUUGCUACGCCAGCAUUUCUAUUGUCUUGCUUGAUCACAACACACCCAUACUUGUGAAGAAAAACUGUAUUUAAAAAAAAAAAAAGAAAAAGGAAAAAAAAAGAAAUAAAAACCCUUUUCAUAUUGCAAUCCACAACUAAAACAACAAAGUAGCUACACUCUCAAAAACCAUCAUAUAACUAUAAAACCACAGGUUGGUACACAGAGAGAGAGAUUGGAGUUAAAACUGGAUAGUACAGCAAUGAAUGCAGAACCAGACAUAUUUGAAUUUUAGUGGUUUUCUCUUCCAUUUCUGUAAUGGCAUUCUGUAGAUCAGAGCUGAUCACACAGACUUAAAUUAGCGUAUUUGAAUUUCCAGCCUGCUUUCCCCUGACAAAGCAAAACAAAGGUAAAUACACAGUGUGCUCCUUAUAUUCUCCAGUUAUCUAAAUGAAUUUUCUUGCUGUUAGUUGCAUACAGAAAACCCUAGAUAAAAUGUAAAAAAAAAAAAAUGAUGGCGUUCCCACUCCAAAGCAAUAGGUGGCAGUAGCAGGAAUAUCAGUUACCCACCUCCAGCAAACAAAGGAACAGGAAGUGUUUGUAAUGUGAGGGGGAAAAAUGUGCUUUGAGAGUUUUUAAUGCUUUUCUUUGAAUUUCAAAUGUGGAUCAAACAAAGUUUCUGGCAGUCGGAUUUAGCUUUGGUUCACUUGGACUUGCAGUUGGGCUGUUGCUCAUUUAAGGAGGUAAAUGCGAUAAAAUACAUGAUUUUAGCUCAGCCUUUGUUGCAGGAGUACAGCAUUGCAUGAUGGGAUAUAUAGGCAAUAUGUGUCGAAUAAAAUAAUCCUUUACAGCCUUUGUGCAAAAAAGUAUCGUCUGUAUUGAAUUCCUGCAGAUUCACAGCCCCCUAUUGCCCCUUGUUUUGUUGAUUUGUAAUUUGUCAGCCCCAUCAGUCAGCAUGGUUUGUCUGUGAAAGACUCCCCUGUCUGUGAGCUGUACAACUCAUACUUACCUGGCAGGGGAGAUACCAUGAUCAUGAAGGUGGUUCACCCAGGGCGAGGCUCAGCCAUUGCACUCCGGUUGUGCUGACCCCUGCGAAUUCCCCAAAUGUGGGAAUCUCGACUGCAUAAUUUCUGGUAGUGGGGGACUGCGUUCGCGCUCU